AAAAAGGUAAGCUAAUAAAGCUAAUAGGUUCAUACCCUAUGAAUAAAGGUAAAAUCCUUUCCUUAUUA
rnacentral:tRNA from 1 species